rnacentral:pre_miRNA from 1 species
ACCCACUGCCUCCUCUCGGCAAGAUAUGUUUGAUAUAUUUGGUGGUGCCUCUUACAGUCCACCAGAUAUCAAACAUGUCAUGUGGAGGGUGGCUGUACACU